rnacentral:sRNA from 1 species
CCUGCGGAGGGAUCAUUACCGAGUUAUACAACUCAUCAACCCUGUGAACAUACCUAUAACGUUGCCUCGGCGGGAACAGACGGCCCCGUAACACGGGCCGCCCCCGCCAGAGGACCCCCUAACUCUGUUUCUAUAAUGUUUCUUCUGAGUAAACAAGCAAAUAAAUUAAAACUUUCAACAACGGAUCUCUUGGCUCUGGCAUCGAUGAAGAACGCAGCGAAAUGCGAUAAGUAAUGUGAAUUGCAGAAUUCAGUGAAUCAUCGAAUCUUUGAACGCACAUUGCGCCCGCCAGUAUUCUGGCGGGCAUGCCUGUUCGAGCGUCAUUACAACCCUCAGGCCCCCGGGCCUGGCGUUGGGGAUCGGCGGAAGCCCCCUGCGGGCACAACGCCGUCCCCCAAAUACAGUGGCGGUCCCGCCGCAGCUUCCAUUGCGUAGUAGCUAACACCUCGCAACUGGAGAGCGGCGCGGCCACGCCGUAAAACACCCAACUUCUGAAUGU